CAGAACAUAGCAGUGGUCUCCAGACCUUGGACUGGACCCUUUAGCCUCAAGUGUGCAGAUGCCUUCUGCACGCUUCUUCAUCUGACUCUGUGGCUGAACA